ACGGGGUGCAGCAGGCGCGAAACCUCCACAAUGUACGAAAGUGCGAUGGGGGAAUCCCAAGUGUUAUUCUUAUCAGAAUAGCUUUUCAUUAGUGUAAAGAGCUUUUAGAAUAAGAGCUGGGCAAGACCGGUGCCAGCCGCCGCGGUAACACCGGCAGCUCGAGUGGUAGCUGUUUUUAUUGGGCCUAAAGCAUCCGUAGCUCGCUGAACAAGUCCCCUGUUAAACCCACCGAUUUAAUCGUUGGCUUGCGGGGGAUACUGCUCGGCUAGGGGACGAGAGAGGCAGACGGUAUUCCCGGGGUAGGGGUGAAAUCCUAUAAUCCCGAGAAGACCACCAGUGGCGAAGGCUGUCUGCUAGAACGCGCCCGACGGUGAGGGAUGAAAGCUGGGGGAGCGAACCGGAUUAGAUACCCGGGUAGUCCCAGCUGUAAACGAUGCAGACUAGGUGUUUGGACGGCCACGUGCCGUUCUAGUGCCGCAGGGAAGCUGUUAAGUCUGCCGCCUGGGGAGUACGAUCGCAAGAUUGAAACUUAAAGGAAUUGGCGGGGGAGCAC
rnacentral:rRNA from 1 species